rnacentral:sRNA from 1 species
UUUCUCUAAACUAAAAAGCUCCAAAAGUUAUAACGAAAGGUUAUAACUUUUGGAGCUUUUUAGUU